GACGGUAGUCAAGGAAUAAGCACCGGCUAACUCCGUGCCAGCAGCCGCGGUAAUACGGGGGGUGCGAGCGUUGUCCGGAAUGAUUGGGCGUAAAGCAUCUGUAGGUGGUUCUUAAAGUCGACUGUUAAAGCCCAGAGCUCAACUUUGGAUAAGCGGUCGAGCACUUAAGGACUUGAGUAUGGUAGGGGUAGAGGGAAUUCCUAGUGGAGCGGUGAAAUGCACAGAGAUUAGGAAGAACACCAAAGGCGAAAGCACUCUACUGGGCCAUGACUGACACUGAGAGAUGAAAGUCGGGGGAGCGAAAAGGAUUAAAUACCCUUGUAGUCCCGACCGUAAACGAUGGAUACUAAGUGCUGACAAAAUCAGUGCUGUAGCUAACGCGUUAAGUAUCCCGCCUGGGGAGUAUGCUCGCAAGAGUGAAACUC
rnacentral:rRNA from 1 species